rnacentral:rRNA from 1 species
GGAGGAAAGCAGGGGAUCGCAAGACCUUGCGCUCUUGGAGCGGCCGAUGUCUGAUUAGCUAGUUGGUGAGGUAAUGGCUUACCAAGGCGACGAUCAGUAGCUGGUCUGAGAGGACGACCAGCCACACUGGGACUGAGACACGGCCCAGACUCCUACGGGAGGCAGCAGUGGGGAAUUUUGGACAAUGGGGGAAACCCUGAUCCAGCCAUGCCGCGUGAGUGAAGAAGGCCUUCGGGUUGUAAAGCUCUUUCAGCCGGAACGAAACGGUCACGGCUAAUACCCGUGACUACUGACGGUACCGGAAGAAGAAGCACCGGCUAACUACGUGCCAGCAGCCGCGGUAAUACGUAGGGUGCAAGCGUUAAUCGGAAUUACUGGGCGUAAAGCGUGCGCAGGCGGUUUUGUAAGUCAGAUGUGAAAGCCCCGGGCUUAACCUGGGAACUGCGUUUGAAACUACAAGGCUAG